rnacentral:rRNA from 1 species
CGGGUGAGUAACGCGUGAGGAACCUGCCUCAAAGAGGGGGACAACAGUUGGAAACGACUGCUAAUACCGCAUAAGCCCACAGGUCGGCAUCGACCAGAGGGAAAAGGAGCAAUCCGCUUUGAGAUGGCCUCGCGUCCGAUUAGCUAGUUGGUGAGGUAAUGGCCCACCAAGGCAACGAUCGGUAGCCGGACUGAGAGGUUGAACGGCCACAUUGGGGCUGAGACACGGCCCAG